AGUGAACGCUGGCGGUAGGCCUAACACAUGCAAGUCGAACGGCAGCACAGUAAGAGCUUGCUCUUACGGGUGGCGAGUGGCGGACGGGUGAGGAAUACAUCGGAAUCUACUUUUUCGUGGGGGAUAACGUAGGGAAACUUACGCUAAUACCGCAUACGACCUACGGGUGAAAGCAGGGGAUCUUCGGACCUUGCGCGAUUGAAUGAGCCGAUGUCGGAUUAGCUAGUUGGCGGGGUAAAGGCCCACCAAGGCGACGAUCCGUAGCUGGUCUGAGAGGAUGAUCAGCCACACUGGAACGGAGACACGGUCCAGACUCCUGCGGGAGGCAGCAGUGGGGAAUAUUGGACAAUGGGCGCAAGCCUGAUCCAGCCAUACCGCGUGGGUGAAGAAGGCCUUCGGGUUGUAAAGCCCUUUUGUUGGGAAGGAAAAGCAGCAGGUUAAUACCCCGCUGUUCUGACGGUACCCAAAGAAUAAGCACCGGCUAACUUCGUG
rnacentral:rRNA from 1 species